rnacentral:rRNA from 1 species
AAAAACAUGUUUUUUAGAAUUUAAUUUAAAAUUUGACCUGCCCAUUGAUUUAGUUAAAAGGCCGCAGUAUUUUGACUGUGCAAAGGUAGCAUAAUCAUUAGUCUUUUAAUUGAAGGCUGGAAUGAAUGGUUGGACGAGAUGUAAUCUGUUUUAUACAAAUAUUUAAAUAUAAUUUUAUUUUUCAGUGAAAAAGCUGAGAUUUAUUUAAAAGACGAGAAGACCCUAUAGAUCUUUACAAUUAUCUAUUUGUUAUUAAAUUUUUAGGUUUUGUUUUUUAUAAUAUUAAGAUUGUUUUGUUGGGGUGACAGGAAGAUUAGUUUAACUCUUUUAUUUUAUUAAAUGUACAUUAAUUAUUGAAUUUUUGAUCUUUUAUUAUGGAUUAUUAGACUAAGUUACCUUAGGGAUAACAGCGUAAUUUUACUGGAGAGUUCAUAUCGAUAGUAGAGAUUGCGACCUCGAUGUUGGAUUAAGAGAUAAAUUUGGGUGCAGAAUUUCAUAAGUUUAAGUCUGUUCGACUUUUAAUUUCUUACAUGAUCU